UGUAUUCAAUAAUGUUAUUGGUCCCCCAUGUGCAGAAGGGCGCGCGCGUAUGGAAUAACAAGUAGGGACACUGCAACUAAUCUACUCUGCUCGUCCAGUCCCUAGCCUAUAAAUAGAUGCCAUGCUAGCUCUUGUUGUGCUCACAAUUAAUCCGAUUACACACGAGCUUCUCUCCCUGGCCAAGACACAACCAUAGUAUGAUGAAGAACAUGGCACUAGCCGGCAAUGGUAUGAAGAAGUUAAUCCUCGCUGUUCUCUUACUGUGUCUAGUUAUAGGGCAGAUACAAGUGGAAGCUAAGAGCUGCUGCCCAUCCACCACUGCAAGAAAUGUCUACAAUACCUGCCGUUUCACGGGUACAUCCCGUCCAACGUGUGCAAAACUGUCAGGCUGCAAAAUUAUCAGCGGGAACAAAUGCAAGCCCCCUAACGACCACCUCACCCUUGACCCGGACACUGGUAAAUAAUAAAUUUAUCUCACUUGAUUUCUUCGUGAUUUGAGUCGUUAAUGUAUUUUCCAUCUGAUGAAACGUAUUGGUUUUGCAUUGAAGAGGAAGUUAAUGUGCUUAACUUCUGCAAGUUGGGGUGUGCGUCGUCUGUGUGCAACAACAUCAACGCUGGUAAGCAACUUUUGCUCAGACAGAGAAAACAAUAAUCAUUAAUUAGCGGCAGCUAGAAUCCUAUAAUCUAAUAUAUAUAUAUAUAUAUAAUUUUAUCAGCUCUGGGAAAUGAAGAGGCGAACGAUGCCGUUGAGAGUUGCGACCAAGCCUGCUCUAGCUUCUGCAGCGUGCAUGUUGGCAGCGCCACCGUGGUUGCUUAAGCAAAUGCAUCCAACUAGAUCGUCCUUGUGCUGAAUAAUUGGAUAUCGUAUCCACUUAAAGCUGCCUUGUGUAGUACGUCUUUGUGUCUCUCUUUAUAUUCCAAUAAGGUCGGUGAUCUUGAUGCCACACACUCAGAUGUGUGUUCAUCUCCAGAUACUACUCCAUGCUACCUGCCCUUUGUGUUUUGUUCAAUAACUGGGUAUCAUAUCCCAGCCAGUAUGCCGUCUGUUUUGUGUUUGUUUCCUUCUAGUUCCAAAGGGGUCAUCAUGAUGUUACCUUCUUUCAAUAUGGUGCUUUGCAUGACUACUGUUGUAUGGUACCAUCUUGUGGCCAAUAAGUACAUCUUAUCCUAUGACCUUUGCUAUGACCCUUUGCAAAUAAGUAGAAGAUUGUUAUAAGCGUCAAUACUCCGUAUAAAUUGAUCGCUGCUGUGAGUUCCCUUUCAGCUUAUCGUAGGCAUACAUUAUUGCUAGCACGGUAAAGCCAACCAACACGAAUGAUGAAGUAAACGUAGCGGUACUUCUGUAUACCAACACCCUUACUUAAAUGUACCGGUGUCAUUCCCUACUGGCACAUAUAUUCUUAUAUGCUAGCCAGCUUGUAAAAUUAACCAAUUAAAAUAAUUAUUUCAAGAUAGAAAUAACUUAUCGGUUUCUGGAAGCAUGUGUAAUGUGAAUUCAAGGACUCGACGGAAGUUGAAUCACUUCAUCUAUAUUGCUUUCAGUAUUUUGGGUAACUAAAUUUAACAUUUGCACAUACAAAUGUUAAAGUACAAAUGUUAAAUCUAGUUACCCAAGCAGAAUAUGAAGAUAGUUUAUAGUAUAUAUAUACUAUAUAAAUCUAGUUAACAUUUAGUCUAAAUGUUAAAUCUAGUUACCUAAAAUCCUGAAAGCAAAAUGUAUAAAUAUAUAUCUUUUAAGGCAGUAUAAGCUUCGAUUCCUAUUGCUGCUCUGUUAAAUCUCAUCUUUCGUUGUGGCCCAACACUCUAGUAUGCAUGUUGCACCAAGCUUCUUUGAGCCGCUCUGCCCUCUGAUUUUGCUGCGUAGGGGAAUCUUUAUCAGGUUGGGCUACUUCCAGUUGUGCGAUGUAAAGAUUCGUAUUUUCUAGAAGGUAGACAAAAAACUCGCGUUCUCUUAAGGCAACAACCGGAAGAUUCUGCAGCGCACAGGGCAUACCAUUAUUGUAGAAACGACCUUUAGUACCGAUCUCCAACCCCCUUUAAAACUGGUUUUGCAACCGGUACCGUUAUGUCGGUCCUUUAGUACCAGAUCAAAUAAGUACCGGUUGGUAACCAGUAUCAACUUGUUUUGCGGCCAAAAAAAUAAAGAAAAAAACAGUCAGAAGGCUCGCGCACACGCGCAUCACAUGAAAUAUGCGUGUGCGGGGUCCAUGGGAUUCGAACCCAUGAAAUCAAGCUGCGCGCGACCCUUCGUUACCAUCUCACCUACAUAGCGCAUAUGCUUUCCUGAAGUAACCCGUGGAGGAGGCUUUAGUACCGGGUCAUAACACCACCCGGUACUAAAAAUGACUCUUCAGUACCGGGUCAUAACACCACCCGAUACUAGUAUCGGAUGGUGUAAUGACCCGAUACUAAAAGGCCUCUAGGGACCCUCAAAUUUGAACCCGGUACUAAUGCUAAUAUUAGUAGCGGGUCAAAGUGCAGCCAGAACUAAAGCAUGGGAUGAAAGGUCAUAUUUCUAGUAGUGUAUAGUUGUUGUGAAGGACUGACUUGGCUGUCCUCUCUCUUCUCCAUCCCCUUGGUCUUACGCCGCCGCUCGCACGCGAGCCGGUGCCCAACCAGAGGAGUGAGAGCUAGGGGCAGGUUGGGAGGUGGGGAUAGUGACUGGUGGCCAGGGUGAUGGUUGAUCCUGGUGGGGUUAGGGUUUUAGGGUUUUCGAGCUUCCUAUGGUCGGCGAACCUAGAGGAGGAGCUCAACAUCAGCUGCAACCCGCGAUGGUGGUGGUUUGGCCGGCGCCCGAGGCGAGGCAGCGCGGGAGUGCUGCCGGUGGGUUGGUGUUGGCACUCAUUAUUGACAACUAUUUUGUUCAUAAAAUAACACUCAAACUUGCUGCUGCUGCUGCUGCUGCCAUCGCCACCCUAGCCAUAAUAUAAAGGCAAAAUUUGCUAAAGGACAUGCAAAAUGAUGCUAGUUUGCUGGCGGGCAUCGUUGACCUUGUAAUAUGCUACAAGACACUCUAGUUGUGUAUCAAUUUGCUGAAAGACAUUGCUAUGACUAAAAUAAUGUUUCUGGACUGAGUUGGAGAGAGAGAUGGAGUGAAAUGUCUGUUUUGCCCAUGACCCCACUGGUCAGAUCCUUCUUCUUCCACCCUCCUUUGUUCUUUCUUCAACCAUUACCCAGCUCCAGCGUGUUGCAGAUCUACGAGGGUGGCGGCCUGGGGCGAGGGGCAUCGCUCGCCCUUGGAGGAGCGCUGCGAGCGACGGCGCGGGGGCGGCAACAGCGCGUCAGAACCUGACUGUUCGUUAGCUCCUCUCGCUGCUGGGGAAGGAGGGGGAUGGGCCAUGGACGGGGUUCCCUUGAAAACCUCAGCGUCGAGCUCGGGCGGCUACGCGCAGGCAGCACUAGGCUGCUUCACGGGGAGGGGGCGCGGCCAAUCAUUGGCACCCCACUGGUCCAAUGCUGAUGAAGAUGGUGCCAGCGUCGUGUGAGGACAUCUCAUCUCCUCGAGUUCCAUGGCCAGCACAGGUGAGCUGCCGCUACCACAAAACAGAGGUUUCGUGAGAGUCAAAAAACCUUAUGAAAAUAGCUAAAACCAUCAUGAAAAUAAUCCGUGACAUGACACUCUCACGAAAAUCCUCUCACAAAUAUGGUGCCAUGAAAAUACCAUUUUCAUGAGAGUGAACUGUCAUGAUUUUAUUUCGUGAGAGUAUUUCCUAUCAAUGACCUCCACGAAAUACUUUGUGCCACCAGGUCUUCAAGAUCAUUUUCAUGAGAGCUGAACAUCAGGAAAAGUCCGCCACAAAUGUUUUUCUUGGAGCCCCUAACUCUCAUGAAAAUCAUGCGGGCCGCCACGAAAAACAGCAUGACCAAAUGACAAAUUUCAUUUUCAUGUGUUCAUACCGCCAUGAAAAUGGUCAUUUUCAUGAGAGUUGAUGAAACAAAAAAUAGUGCCAUUUUCAUGAGAGUUCAAGCAACCAGGAAAAGACACUAAUAAACAUCCAGAUCCCAUCCAGCACACAUCCAUGCACAUAUAUAACCCACAUAUUGCUCCAGCACACAUCCAUGCAUAUACAAGAUCCAAAUGUUAAUAUAGUAGACAUCCAUGCCUGAACUAGUCUGCCACACAAGUCAUUGAUGCUACAAAUCCUACAAUCGCAGCAUGUGCAUACAAGUCACAGAAUGAGACAAUGUACCCAAAACUAAAAGGUUAGCAUCAACUGUGCUUCAACCAAAGUUGUCAUCCCAACUCUCCUCUUCAUCCAUGCCAUUCUUGUCGUGGCCGUCACUGUCAGUCCCCAUGGCAUUGCCAAUGCUGUGCAUGUCUUGGUAGGAACCUACAUGUGAUGAACUAGUAACCUGCAAAAAGAGCUCAAAGGAUCUUGUUCUCAUAUUGUAGCUGUGAAAUUCUUACAAGUAGUGUUGCAAUCAGUUCACUUUGAACCAAAAGAGCUCAAAGGAUCUUGUCCUAAAAGUUCCUCAUAAAGCUUAUGGGUUUGCUGGUGGAACUGGAAGGGCUUGAUGCAGCAGAUGCCAUUCUGCAAUAGAGAAAAAUUUAGAGAGCAGUACUAGUUAAAAUUGGAUGCAGAAGAUACACAUGAAACUAGUAUUUAUACAAGUCUAUACAAUUAAAAUCUAAGGAGACUUAUCAUCGUUUUCAUGUGUUGUGAAUUAAAAUAAUGAAGGAUACACUGUUAGGUGAAAAUUCAAGAAACAAAAUUUUGCAUAGAGAUAAAGGUCCAACAUUAUUACAAGUUAAGGUAGUUUUAAAUAUCCUUGUAAUCUUCCUUUGGUUUCCUCAACGAUUCGAAGACAAUAACCUUGCUUCUAUCAAUGAUAAUUAUAAGGAGAAUCCAGUGGAAACUGUGUAUUCGUAUUAGAACUACCUAAGGUUAAUUAGGUUAGGAAAGGAAAUUGAAAAUAGAUGGUACCCACACUUACUUAAAGUUGUCGGGCAAUAGUAUGUAAUGCUUGUAAUUCCGUUGCUCCAAGAAUUUGUAUAUGUGGUCCAAUGUAGACUUUGGUUGAUCCCGUAUCUGCUGUUGGUUAAAUAAGUGUUUCUAGCCAUUUCUAGCCAUUAGAACCGGGACUAAAGGGGGCUCUUUAGUACGGGUUGAUAUUACUAACCGGGAUUAAAGAGCCCCCAUUAGAGUUGGUUUUUGGAUGCGGAACUAACAACUCCUUUAGUCCUGAGUACGAAAACAACUGACAUAUUUGUUGCUGGAUGGAAGGUCCUUUCUCUACCGUGAAUAUUGCCAGAAAGAAUUGAAAGAGACUGCUUGCUAAAAAUAUGUCAUAGAUGUAGACCAAGCUACCAAGGAGGUAGACCAAACAUGAUACACACCAUGCGUACCUUGCUGUGCAGACUAUGCAUUGACAAGAUACCCGACCACAUGUUGGCCUCGGUCACAUCAAAAGAAUCAUGUAGGCCACCAAUAAACUACUUGAAGCGGCAUUCCGUAUCGUAUAUGCAUUGCCGGUUCAUCUGCAUUACAUUACAUAAAGCACUAUUAACUAUUUGAAUAAAAUGAACCAAUUUAAAAGUAAUGUGUUGUACUCUACUAUAGAAAGCCCUAUCACUGCCGGAUCCAAAAACAUCAUUGUUAAUGGUGGUUAAGUACCAAAUAUGACGGUCAAUAUUCUCAAGAAUAAUGGAGAAUUAGCAUUUCUUAGACACAUAUUUGGUUUUGAACAAUGUAGUUCCACAUGUCUUUGGAGAUUAUUUGGGUGUGGGUGAAAUAAUACAAAAAUAAGGAGAAAACACACUCCCAUGGCGAAGAAACACAACUCCAACCAAUGAGAGAUAGCCACAGGGGCAGCACACGGAUCCAUGGGCCCACUAACCGCAUCAAACCAUCUUACCAAGGCAGGUAGCACCCACAACCGUCAUUAGGACCCACCUGGAAGUCUACCAAGAAGAAGGUUGCGAGUGGGGCCAGGAGGGGUUCGGUUGAAUCAUCUCUAGCUAGCUCCCCUCAUCCCCAGCUGGUGGGUGGUGGUGGUUGAUGGUGUCCCUACAUCAGUUAGAGGAGAUUCCCCCAAAUAUUCCUCCUGUAAACCACCUCUAUGGACCUAUACAUAGAGGGGUGUGCUCUCCAUUCCAACACACACCACAAGUUGAAUCACUCUCUCCCUCUUUAGUUUCCAAGUUUAUGGAGUUAGGCUAGAGUAGCUCUGCUCAAGGUUCCAAGUCCACUUGGAGUUAAGCAUAUGUCUCUUGUAUCGUUAUUUCCUAAAUUGACUUUAUGCUUAGUUCUUAUAUGCAUGAGUUAGUCUAAUACCCUUGCUAUAUUGAUAUGCUCGGCUUAUAUGCUCGUAUGCUAGUCAUAUACCCUUGCUGUCGUAGUAUAGGCUUAUAUGCUCUCAUGUGUGCCUGUAGACCUUGCUAUAGUAUAUACUUGUUGUGCAUACAUACCAUGUAUAGGCUAGUCGAUCUAUACCAUGGCAUUGGUUCAAUAGCCAUGUUUUUGGUGGCUCCAACCCUAGUCACAAUAGCUCGGGACAGCUGGAGUGUUGUUAAAAAUGCAAGAGUGGUGCUUGGGUUGUUUAGCAUCGUUGGAUAUGGGUUUGCCCCACGGGUUUCUAACGGUAGGCGGCAGCUAGUGACAUCCCUGUCCGUCCUUCGUAAUCCCCCCACAUUCAGGUACGCCAUAAAUGUUCGUAAAUUAGCAGUAACUACGCCGGUACACCUGUAGGGUAUUGUCUCCCUGUAGUACCUUGGUGCAUAGAACUAAGUCCUAUACACUGUGUGUGUAUGUUUACGCUGAUAUGAUCUGUGCAGUAUAUAGGAUGUAUAUAUGAACCUAGAGCUAACUCCUAGUCCGUUCUCCAUAGCUUAGUUAUCUUGAGAUGAUUCUUCUGUAUGUGUAACACUACCCAUCUUAUCAUUAUCCUUGAUCCUGUCUUGUGUAAUAUAUCUACUCAUCCUAUGAUAUACUCAUAUGCAUAGUAAACUAUUUUGACCUACCCGCCUUCCUUUGGGAAAUAUGAUACCUUGGAAUAAUCCUAGGUGAAAUCCUACAACGGUAUAUCCAUGUAAAUGCGGAUUUAUUCAUGACCAUUAAAUAUACCAACAAUCAUCACUGUGAGUUUUGGGCGUCGUUAGUGAAGGGUUGGUAGUGAUGGGCAUCCCCUUCACCAAUGGACCUGGAACCGGCGGUGAUGGCUAUUAUAAAAAAGGGGACACCACCCAGCGUACCCCACGACCCGGCCGGCCGCACCUCCCAUCAUCCCCGCCAGCCGCCCUUCCUUUUCGCCGGCCGAGCAUGGUCCCGGCCUUUGUCCCUACCACCUCGCCUCCACCGCGACCCCCCGCCGAUGCCCUCGUGCCUGGCCCCCCUCAUCUUGCCGGCCACCCUCCCGAUGCGUCCACUGGGGCCCUCGCACCACCAACCGCCCUUGCUUAGAGAGGGAGAGAGAGGAGGGAGGUGAGGCCACGCACCUCGUCCUACACCGCCGCUGUUUCUCCUCGGCCCACCGCGCCUCACCCCACACCACAGCCGCGCCUUGCCAUCUUACCGGCUGUGACGCCUCAUCUCACCGGCCACCGUUCCUCACCCCCACUUCGGUCGUCGCCGCUCCUUGCCCUACCGCUGCUCUUUGCCGCUGCGAAUGAGCGCCGAGUGGAGGAGGAGGGAUGGGGCAGGAGGAGGGCAAGAUCCGGGAGGAAGGGAGAGAUCUCGGGAGGUGGAGAUGGAAGGAUAUGGCGGAAGGGAGAGAUCCAGAGGGAGAGAGCAGGGGAGAGAGGGGGGCGUGUGGGGAGAGAGCGCGUGUGGGGUGGGGCCGGGCUGGUGGGAUGGAAGGGAGAGGGGCUAGACGGGCGCAGUGCAUUCAACUGGAUGAAGUAAAUAUUUUGGAUUCGAGACCCCAGCUUUAUUAUCACCGCUGGUCCGUAGUACCAUCCGGUGCCUGCUCGUAAUUUAAUUUGAAUCUGCGGUGAUGUUUUAUUAUCACCAUCGGAUCAUAUAAAAAUCCGGCGGUUAAAAAUCCGCUGGUUUCGAUGAAAACCGACGGUGAUAGGAUGACUGUGAUAGUCUCUUCUCUAGUAGUGGUAUAUUAGUACCGGCUGCCGGAUGGUGUUGCCGACCAGUACUUCUCCGGGGGCGAUUCAGUACUGCUGUUAGCAAAGCUUGUUCUCUAUGAAUUUGGGGAUGGAAAGCUAGUUCUCUAGUUGUGAUUUGUUACAUAUAUAUCUAUGAUAGUCUAGAAAUUGCAUGUCCUUCGUUGACAUAGUUGAAGCUGCUUCAAGAAUUUACUUCGUGCAGUCGUGCAGCAUAUUGGAUUAUCACCUAGACAGGAUACAUAGGUGAAGCAUUGGAUGUGAUUGUGGCCGAUAAUUAUGCAGGACGCUGUUGCAAUCAACCACCAAGAAGUCUGGAGUGAUGGGGUUGCCUCAUCAAUAAUUUUUAUAUAUGGCUGCAGUAUUAUUAAGCCCACGUCAAUAAUUUUUUGUCCGCACCAUAUAUCGAUGGGGUUGCCUCAUCAAUAAUUCGCGCAACCAGACAAGCUGCAGACUCAAUAUGGUACGAAGCUAGUUGCUCAGCCCACAUGCUCUGAUAUAACAUUGACAUCUGCUGAUCUACAGUAUAUAUGACCAGAAAUAUUGUGCCCACCUCAAUAACUUUCUGAAGUAUCGUGGGGAAGAACCUACGCGUACUAUGCCUCGGAACUAACUGACAUAUCGGCCCAGGCGGUCUAGGCCGAUUGGACUGGCUCUUCCUUGUGGCUUCUCACAUCCCCUUCGUCCCCAAGUAAUUUCAGGUGUUCUGUAGUUUUCUUUUCACUUGCAUCUGAGCCUCCUAUAUCAAUAGCUUCGGGAUAAGAAUGCCUCUUGAUAACCUUCCAAAUCCUCGCUUGAUUCACAUUGAUUCCGAAAUCAUCUUGCCAUAUCUUCAGAGACUUAGGUCCUAAGGCAUCAUGGAGGAUUGCUCGCCAAGAAUGAGCACCAUUGGGCUCCUGAGGACCCUAGGCCGAUCAGCCCGGGCUCUAUAGGUCGAUUGGCCCAGGCCCUCUCUGGGCCUGUUGGCCUUCAUCUUUCUUUGAGUCGACGCUUAUUCAGGGCUUUGUCCAAUUAUAGUCCAUUAUAGUCUAAUUUCCUAAAAAACAGAAUGUCCUCCAAAAUACAAUGCAUAUGUGAAAACAACCCAAUUAUUAGGUAUGAUCAAUAGUUUAGGUAUUAAAUUAAUAUUAUUAUUUAAGAUAAACAGGGGUAAAGGGUGUCAUUAAUAACAAGCGCCAACAAGCGUCCUAGCUGUUCAAUAAAUUUUUUCUAGUACCGAUUGGUAACACUAACCGGUGCUAAUAUGUACCCUUUAUUACCGGUUAUUUUACCAGGUACUAAAGGAGACAAGAGCAUCCUAACAUAAGGUUAAUAUCAUCCAUUUCAUGAGUAAAAUACUAUGAUUCAAAAAUAAUUCAAAUCCCUUAAGACAAUACCUAUCAAAUGAGUAAAUUGUAAAUAGAGUAAUCUUGAUCAAACAAUGUCCUAAUGAAACGGAACACUUCUGGUUCGUGUAGAGCACAAUAUAGAAAACAGUAGGGUAGCUGUAUGAUUGACACGUGGUCCAUUAAUUAUUGAGCCAACACUAUGGACAUGUCUUCAUGAGUAGUGUACUAGUCAUAAUACAUGGUAUGCAGUAGGUGGAGGUAUUGACUUAGCCAUGCUAUGAGCACUUAGUUACAACAAACACUUUGCCAUUAUCGAGCAUCCCAAAUCACUACAAAAUCCAUAGUUUACCAUAUACUACAAAAUCUGAGUUAAAAUAAGAGCAUACACGGAAGAGUCCGAAUGCACGGCACAUUGAAUUACUAGACAAAAUUUAUGGGACAAGGUUUUGGGUAACCGCAUGAAAAAUAUUGGAUUUUACUGAACACUUAGUUACAAUUACCAUGCCCGUGAGCACUUAGUCACCACAAACAUUUAACCACUUUAGAUCAUCCUGAAUCCCUAUAAAUUCUAUACCUUACACCGUACCAUGAAAACGACAAGAACAGAGACAGAUGCGGUGAAAAUCUCCAGAGCAAGCCUGAAAUUAAAAUAAGAGGAGGCAGUCACUAUCGACAGGACACGGAGAUUGCUAGCCAUGACAGAGGAAGACAUGAUAUGAUAUUCACCUCUGAAAUGCAGCGUAGACUAAAUGAAGCACAAUUGCAAGUGAGUGUGGCAGAUAAUGGACCAUCGAGACCAUCGAAUGGUAUGAAGCAUGAUUAUCACCUAGACAUGAUAUCCUAGACAGGACGGUGAAUUGUAAAAAGAGUAAUCUUGAUCAAAGAAUGUCCUAAUGAAACGGAACAUUUUUGGUACGUGUAGAGCAAAAUAUAGAAAACAGUAGAGUAGUUGUACGAUUGAAACUGCAUCCAUCGACGUGGUGCAUGAAUUGUUGAGCCAACACUGUGGACAUGUCUUCAUGAACACCAUCUAGUGAGGACAGCAUGCAGAAAAAUAUAAAAACAUGUCAUAGGGAGGCAGACCAAUCUUGCGAGGUAGACGAAACGUGAUACACGAUCUGCCUACCUUGUCGUGUGGAUACCCCAAGUGAAGAUGUCAUAGAGGUGCAGACCAAGCUAGCAAGGAGGUAGAUGAAACGUGAUACACGGCCUGCCUACCUUGCCGUGGAUAUUAGUCCUGAUAUCAUUCUAUUGUUCAAGGAAUAACACUCAAUGCUGCUGCUGCUGCUGACCUGGCUCCAUAAAGUUAUAUUCCUCUAGCCGCUUGCACUAACUUUAUCUGAAGUAUUAUUCUCUCUGCACUGUAUAUAUGGUUACGGAGUUUGCUGGAGUAUCCGGGGGGAAGAACCUACAUAAUAUGUCUUGGAACUAACUGACAUUGAUUCACAGACAAGGUGCUGUUGUUGACAUGGUACAGUAAAUAAUAUAGUUUACCAUAUACCGUAUACCAUUAUAUGUUAGCUAAAAUAAGAGCAUAACAUGUCGCAGGAGUCCAAAAGCACCGGUUGAGGACCAGGUACAUUAAAUUACUAGAAAACAAAAGGGGACAAGGUUUAGGUAGCCACAUGAAAAACAUUUGAAUUUACUGUACCAUGAACACUUAGUUACCAUGCCGGGAGCACCUAGUUAACACUAACAUUUAGCCACUUUAGAUCAUCCCGAAACACCAAUGACCCUCAAUAGCGACAAAUUUUGGUUUAAAUGCCGUCACCAAUGAUCCUCAAUAGUGACGUGUUUAGGUUUAAAUCCCAUCACUAAUAACCCUUGGUAGUGACGUGUUUUGGUUUAAAUCUCAUCACCACUGAUCCUCACUAGUGACGUGUUUUUAGCAACACACGUUAUGAAUGACUUGUCAUUGGUGACAUGUUAAACGCGUUAUCUCAAUGGCAAAUCAAUGGUGACGUGUUUAAAAAAACAUGUCACUGUGAGAGUUAUUGGUGAAGGGUAAUUAAAAUGCAUCACUAAUUUUGUAGCAUUAGUUAUGAUAUAAUUUUGUAACGCAAAAAUCUACCAUAGUAAUGAGGUUUAGAGCCAUCACUAAUGUGGGUUUCUUAUCGUAGUGAUGCAAGCUCUACAAGGUGCUGUUGUUGCCAUUUUAAAGCAUCCCAAAUGACUACAAGAGUCCGGUUGAGGACUAAACAAAUUGAAUUACUAGAACCAAAUGUAUGUCCAGAACAAAGAAAGGGGUCAAGGUUUGGGUAACCGCAUUAAAAACAUUGAAUUUUACUGUACCAUGAACACUUAGUUACCAUUACCAUGCCUUGAGCACCUAGUUACCACAAACAUUAAUUUAGCCACUUUAGAGGUUCCACAAUCACUAUAAAUAAUAUACCAACACCGUACCAUGAAAACAUCAAGAAGAGAGACGGGUACAUGGACCACCAUCAAGUGAGUAGUGACAGCACGCACAAGAAUACCCGGAACCUUUUAGCUUGUCUGUAGUGAUCUGUUUUCUUCGCCACAAAUAAUGAAAGAGGCUGACCAAGCUAGCAACGAGGUAGAGCAAACGUGAUACACGUAGGUUUCAUUCAAGACAUCCAUGUAAGAUUCAUUCAAAACAUUCAUGGAAAUUUCUUGUAAGUUUUCAUGUAAAUUUCAUUCAAGACAUUUGUUAGAGGUGUUGUAUAUACACUUAACGUACAUAUAUCUAUGAUUUCAUGGUUGUUAGUGAUGGCAGAUGAGGAGCAUGCAAGGUGUUUAAUGGAGCAGAUUAUUGCUAGUGGUAGUGGCUCCAACCUGCCCGUAACGUACACCGACGAAGAGGGCAGCCAGGCGGACAUGUUCCUCAACAUGUCCGGUGAUGGCAAUGAAGAGCCCGAGCAAAACCUUGCCGUGACGGAAGGUUCCAUCGAGGUAUAUAUCAUUUCCAUUAUUUUACCCCAUCUAUAAUUUCAUAUUCAUUAUUACUAUGUGCUAAUUAAUGAAUCUUGAACCGUUAGUCCUCUAGAUCAACGAACCGAAAUAAGCCCCGAGGUCUUACAAAGAUAAUGCAGGGAAGGCUUCACAUCAUGGAAGUCACAGAAGAGGGCACAUCGGUUGCUCCCGAACAUGUGGCAAGAAAGUACGUGAGUCAAACCGGGGCAAUCGUAAGGGACAACAUGCCCAUCAGCAUCAGGGAAUGAAAGAGCAAUAGAAAUGAUCUAUACGCACCCCCGGAUACACAAAAGGAUAUGUUGUGGGCAAAUAUCAAGAAACACUUCACAUUUCCCAAAGGAUAUGUUGAAAAAUAUGUGAAAGCGUGGAUGUUGAAGAAGAUGGCCACCCAAUUCCAGACAUUCAAGAAGAUGUUGGAUGCCAACUUCAUCAAGAAGGGUCGAACUCCGGGUUUCAAUGAGUGGCCAAAGUUAAGGGACCACUGGGAGUCGUUUGUCGAAUACAAGACGAGCGAAGGUGGUGCGAGUAAGGUUCACAUCAAUGUUGCCAAUGCUAGCAAGGAGUACCAUCAUCAUCUAGGGCGACGUGGUUACAGCUCUGCAAUUCCCAGAUGGCGCAAGAUGGAACAAGACCUGAUCGAUCGGGGUAUCGUACCAGCAACUCUUGACUGGAUCGAUUGAAAAAUUGGUAUUAUGCUCAUGAAGGCAAUCUGAGCCAAGAGGAUCCGACAUUGGUCUUCAAUAAAACAAUACGUCAGAAGGUCGGAAGGCUUAUUAGGAACAUUGAAGAUGCUAAAGCUGGGAGGUUCAAGGUGGAUAGAGAGAAUGAUGAACUCACAUUGGCCCUCGGGACUGUCAUCUCUAGCACUUCCAGCUCCAGGACUAUCGUCACCACCGGGACCGUCGCUUCCUGCUCGAUCACAGUCUCCAUCUCCAGCACAUCCUGGUGGUGCGAGCGACGACGACAACAACACCCCUCCCUGCCCACCAUUGCCGGGACUAAGACCCGCAUUGAGUAAGGAACCUGCAACACCACUGAAGAAGUCGCGACCACCACCUUCAAGGCAAGUCAGCAAAAGAAGAAAGCAGAGAAGCCUAAACCCACUGAGAAGCCAGCGACUGAUAUGACCGAUGCGGAAAGAUGGAAGGCACUCAAAGAAGAAUGCAGGGAGUGGUUCAGCGAAGGCGAAGGUGAGAAAGUCGUAUGAAUCGAAUUCAAGGAUAUAUAUGAAGUGAACCAUCAGGAUGCCCUUGAUGUCUCUCUCAUCAGCGCCUAGGUUCUGUAAGUGUAUGUUUAUCUAUAAGUAAAUUUUGGCUCAUAUCAUUAUUUUUUUUGCGUGCGUCACCCUACUAACUUCGUCUUCCAUUUUAUGUAGGAUGCUAAUUCAGACGUGCCGCAUAGAAGCGUACUUCCAUGUUGGAUUCAUGGAUCCAUCCCUAGUUAACCAAAAGCCGAUACGGAAGUAGCUAGAGAAAACGUUGGAGGUGGUGUACAACCUCCUGGACAAACUAAACUACAGAAUAGGGGCAAUAUGUGAGGGUCUUGUAGGAUUCCUAGUGGACGAGGUGAUAAAUCCAUAAGGAGAAUAUCAUUCCAACGGACGAGCAUUAGACACACUGAGCAACACCUAGAUGGGAGGAUCCUAGGAAUGACCUCGACAGAUUUUGGUAUAAAUAGUAAUUGUGUAAAUACUAGUUUGAUUUGUAUAGGAAUAUACUAAGAAUUGUAUAUAUAGUAAUUGUACAAAUACUAGUUUGAUUUGUAUGAAUACUAGAUUGAUUUUAUUAUAAAAAAGUUUUAAGUCGUACGUGCAUGCGCCUACAAAGGCGCGGAUGCCUUUUAAUCCCAGUCGGAAAAACAAACUGGUACUAAAGGGGCUCGUGCCGCACCUGGCAUGACCACCCCUUUAGUCCCGGUUGAACGACCCAGGACUAAAGAUCUCCGCGUCUCAAAAAUUUUAUCUCGGAUGCUUUUUAGAGAGAUUUGAGGCCUAUCAACCAAGACUAAUAUCGAGUUUUCUACCAGUGAAACUAACUAACGUUCACAUGGUUUUGACAUUCACCUGCCAUUUGGUGUAGACAAGGGCACCCUAACAUAUGGUUAAUAUUAUUCUUGAAAGAAAAUCCUUUGAUUCAAAAUACUUCAAACCUAAUAAUACAAUACUUCUCACAUCUGAAAAAUAUGAGACGGCCCGACAGUAUUCUAAUCGACGCAAUAAUAUUUUGAGGGCAGCACUACUACAGCGACCCUCAUUCGUGCCGGUGCUGGGACUCCUAUCACGACCCUGAUACAAAUGAGGGUACAUUAUUGGUGCCAGUGCUAGAACAGCCACGAAUAACUUGCUAAACGUGCUGUUACACUCACUACAGGGACCAAGAAGGUAGAUAAAUUACACGACAUAGCCUUGGUUGCCGUGGAAGCGCCAAGAAGGGAGACAAAUUACAGGGACCACACCAUCAAGUAGAUAGUGACAAUAUGCAAAAGAAUACCCGCGCCUGUUAGCAUGUGAACUGACCACACCACGAAACGUGAUACACGGCAAGCGUACCAAGGCCUUGCUGUGCAGACUAUGCAUGGACAACACAUGGUACCUGACCGCUUUUGGCCUCAGACACAUCGAAAAACUGCAUCGUUCCACGUUGUACAUCCAUUGCUAGUUUAUCUAUAUUACAUAAUAUAUUAUUAGCUAUUUGAAUAGAAUGAACCAAUUAAAAAAUUGCGUUGUAUUUUUAGUACCGGCUGCAGGAUGGUGUUACCAACCAGUACUAAUUGGCCUGUAGGAGUGAUGGUUAUUAGACUUGGUACUGUUGUUAGCAUCAUUAACCUAAUUGUGCGCCGUAUGAAUUUGGGGAUGCAAAGCUAGCUCUCUAUGAAUGUGAGGGAUGGAAAGCUAGUUCUCUAGUAGUAAUUAUAUAUAUGACAGUCAAGAAAUCGAACACUAUGCUGCUACGAGUCACCAUCAUUUCCUUCAUUGACAAUCUGACAUAGGUGAAGCUGCUUCAAUAAUUUCCUUCGCGCAGUCGUGGAGCUUAUUGGAUUAUCACCAGGACGGGACACGGAAAUGGCCAGCAAUGAAGCUGAUUGCCGUCUGAGGAAGACUACAUACUUACCUAUGAAAUGAAGCGAUUGCAUAGACUAAUGAAGCAUUGCAUAUUUGCAUGUGAGUGUGGCAGAUAAUUCUGCAGGACAUGAUUGCAAUCCACGCACCAUCGAGAAGACUGGGGCGAUGGGGUUGCCUCAUCAAUAAUCACGUGGAUGCAUGCAUGCAUGUUCCCGCAACCGGACAAGGGUCUGAUAUAUGGCUAUAGUAUUACUGAGCCCACAUCAAUAAUUUCCACUGGUGUAUCGUGUGGGAAGAAUCAACAUACUACACCUCGAGUUCUUGGAACUAACUGACGUUCACAUGCAACCUCCACAAGGUGCUGUAUGCUUUUGACAUUCACCUGCCAGUUCGUGUAGAGAAGGACACCCUAACGUAUAGUUAAUAUUAUCCAUUUCAUGAGUAAAAUACUGUGAUUCAAAAAUACUUCAAAUCCCUUGAGACAAUACUUCUCACUUGACUAACCACUAACCAACCCCGAAACCCUAACUCAACUCCGAACCCUAACCCCUAACGGCAUAACCACUCCGUUUUGCCGGCGAGAUGGAGGAACUGGCUGGAAGGUAGAGAGGGCAGCGGUCCAGGGUUGAAAACGACGGGCGAGCGCAGUAACAUGUGGAGGAGGAAGUGCCACGUAUUCGUUCACCGCUAUUGGGCAGCGACACACGACACGCCCAAUAAGAUCUUCGCACGGUAGAAGGACGUCAUGUAUUCAAUAAUGUUAUUGGUCCCCCAUGUGCAGAAGGGCGCGCGCGUAUGGAAUAACAAGUAGGGACACUGCAACUAAUCUACUCUGCUCGUCCAGUCCCUAGCCUAUAAAUAGAUGCCAUGCUAGCUCUUGUUGUGCUCACAAUUAAUCCGAUUACACACGAGCUUCUCUCCCUGGCCAAGACACAACCAUAGUAUGAUGAAGAACAUGGCACUAGCCGGCAAUGGUAUGAAGAAGUUAAUCCUCGCUGUUCUCUUACUGUGUCUAGUUAUAGGGCAGAUACAAGUGGAAGCUAAGAGCUGCUGCCCAUCCACCACUGCAAGAAAUGUCUACAAUACCUGCCGUUUCACGGGUACAUCCCGUCCAACGUGUGCAAAACUGUCAGGCUGCAAAAUUAUCAGCGGGAACAAAUGCAAGCCCCCUAACGACCACCUCACCCUUGACCCGGACACUGGUAAAUAAUAAAUUUAUCUCACUUGAUUUCUUCGUGAUUUGAGUCGUUAAUGUAUUUUCCAUCUGAUGAAACGUAUUGGUUUUGCAUUGAAGAGGAAGUUAAUGUGCUUAACUUCUGCAAGUUGGGGUGUGCGUCGUCUGUGUGCAACAACAUCAACGCUGGUAAGCAACUUUUGCUCAGACAGAGAAAACAAUAAUCAUUAAUUAGCGGCAGCUAGAAUCCUAUAAUCUAAUAUAUAUAUAUAUAUAUAAUUUUAUCAGCUCUGGGAAAUGAAGAGGCGAACGAUGCCGUUGAGAGUUGCGACCAAGCCUGCUCUAGCUUCUGCAGCGUGCAUGUUGGCAGCGCCACCGUGGUUGCUUAAGCAAAUGCAUCCAACUAGAUCGUCCUUGUGCUGAAUAAUUGGAUAUCGUAUCCACUUAAAGCUGCCUUGUGUAGUACGUCUUUGUGUCUCUCUUUAUAUUCCAAUAAGGUCGGUGAUCUUGAUGCCACACACUCAGAUGUGUGUUCAUCUCCAGAUACUACUCCAUGCUACCUGCCCUUUGUGUUUUGUUCAAUAACUGGGUAUCAUAUCCCAGCCAGUAUGCCGUCUGUUUUGUGUUUGUUUCCUUCUAGUUCCAAAGGGGUCAUCAUGAUGUUACCUUCUUUCAAUAUGGUGCUUUGCAUGACUACUGUUGUAUGGUACCAUCUUGUGGCCAAUAAGUACAUCUUAUCCUAUGACCUUUGCUAUGACCCUUUGCAAAUAAGUAGAAGAUUGUUAUAAGCGUCAAUACUCCGUAUAAAUUGAUCGCUGCUGUGAGUUCCCUUUCAGCUUAUCGUAGGCAUACAUUAUUGCUAGCACGGUAAAGCCAACCAACACGAAUGAUGAAGUAAACGUAGCGGUACUUCUGUAUACCAACACCCUUACUUAAAU
rnacentral:lncRNA from 1 species